rnacentral:rRNA from 1 species
GACGAACGCUGGCGGCGUGCUUAACACAUGCAAGUCGAACGGUAAGGCCCUUCGGGGUACACGAGUGGCGAACGGGUGAGUAACACGUGGGUGAUCUGCCCUGCACUUCGGGAUAAGCCUGGGCAACUGGGUCUAAUAGCGGAUAGGACCCUGGGUUGCAUGUCCUGGGGUGGAAAGCUUUUGCGGUGUGGGAUUGGCGCGCGGCCUAUCAGCUUGUUGGUGGGGUGGUGGCCUACCAAGGCGACGAAGGGUAGCCGGCCUGAGAGGGGGACCGGCCACACUGGGACUGAGAUACGGCCCAGACUCCUACGGGAGGCAGCAGUGGGGAAUAUUGCACAAUGGGCGCAAGCCUGAUGCAGCGACGCCGCGUGAGGGAUGACGGCCUUCGGGUUGUAAACCUCUUUCAGCACCGACGAAGCGCAAGUGACGGUAGGUGCAGAAGAAGGACCGGCCAACUACGUGCCAGCCGCCGCAGUAA